rnacentral:lncRNA from 1 species
AUGAUCAGGAGCAUGGCCUUGGGUUUCUCCAUCCGUAUGGGAAAAAGUUGCUUGUCUGAUGGUAAACAAAGAAUAGAAGAAUUGAUUCACUGUCUUCACUUUAAAAAAGAUGGAAUUGGGGUACUGAAGAGUACAUACAGCAUUAGAAAUGCAAAACAUGACCGCAUGUUCUCAGGAUUUUGUCAGUGUUACAUGAAAGAGCACUUGUGCUGGGAUGCUCAACUCUGAGGGUAUUCUCUGUUCAGUGAGUAUUUACAGA